UACGUAGGGGGCUAGCGUUGUCCGGAUUUAUUGGGCGUAAAGAGCGUUUAGGCGGCCAGGUAGGUCUGCUGUGAAAACUCGAGGCUUAACCUCGAGAUGUCGGCGGAAACCAUCUGGCUAGAGUCCGGAAGAGGAGAAUGGAAUUCCCGGUGUAGCGGUGAAAUGCGCAGAUAUCGGGAAGAACACCCGUGGCGAAGGCGGUUCUCUGGGACGGUACUGACGCUGAGACGCGAAAGCGUGGGGAGCGAACAGG
rnacentral:rRNA from 1 species